CUAGCAGCAGAUUAAUACAGUCUGGCUCCGGGGGCCCCUGCAAUAGUAUUAAAUACUGUGUUACGGAAAAUGUUUCACAUACUGGCAAGCUAUUAUGCAGCUUUAUAUUCCACUCUACUCCCCUGAAUAUGGCACCCUCAAGAUCCUCUCCCAGAGACGCUCCUGAUUCCUGCUGGGGGCUCCAGAAUGUUAACGGCACCACUGAGUUGUCUUACUUUGAGUCAAGAGGGGUGAGCGUUUAUAUCAGUCAGUCAUGGAUUGCAUACUACCUCCUGUGGACAAAGGGAAUUCUGAAGCCAUUAGCCAAGAUUCUUAGCAGUUAAGGUCAGCGAAGGGAUAUCACCUACAGGGCAAAGAAGCUCUUAUCAAGAGCAAGGCUAGAUCAACACUGGGGCAAAGAGAGCUGAAAAAGGAAAGGUAAAUGCAGUGAGAGAGUCCCCCCACCCCACCACCACCAAAUUUCAGUUAAAAGGGAGUCUUAAAGGAAGGCUACUUACUUCUAGGAUUAUCUUCUGUAGAUUUCCAAACUUCUUGACACUUUACAGAGCUCUAGCCUUUCCUAGUUGAGUUGGUUUCAUUUAGCUAUCCGGUGGAGCUCCCUUUCUGUGGGGGAAUUUGUUCAUGUUGACCUAAGGGCACACAGCUGCCGUCAGCUUCUGGGGCAUAGGCUCUGCGUACAAAGCAACUCUGUAUUGUGGAACUUCUCCACAC